rnacentral:rRNA from 1 species
UACGUAGGGGGGCGAGCGUUGUCCGGAUUUAUUGGGCGUAAAGAGCGUGUAGGCGGCCAGGUAGGUCGGUUGUGAAAACUCGGGGGCUCAACCCCGAGCCUGCAGUCGAUACGGGCAGACUAGAGUGCUGUAGGGGAGACUGGAAUUCCUGGUGUAGCGGUGAAAUGCGCAGAUAUCAGGAGGAACACCGGUGGCGAAGGCGGCCAUCUGGACGGUGACUGACGCUGAGACGCGAAAGCGUGGGGAGCAAACAGG